rnacentral:rRNA from 1 species
AAUGGGGGAAACCCUGACGCAGCAACGCCGCGUAAGUGAUGAAGGCCUUCGGGUCGUAAAGCUCUGUCAGAGGGAAAGAAAUGUGGGCGGCUAAUAUCCGUUCCACUUGACGGUACCUCCGAAGGAAGCACCGGCUAACUCCGUGCCAGCAGCCGCGGUAAUACGGAGGGUGCAAGCGUUGUUCGGAAUUAUUGGGCGUAAAGCGCGUGUAGGCGGUCUUUUAAGUCUGAUGUGAAAGCCCCGGGCUCAACCUGGGAAGUGUAUGGGAAACUGGGAGACUUGAGUACGGGAGAGGAGAGCGGAAUUCGUAGUGUAGGAGUGAAAUCCGUAGAUAUUAGGAGGAACACCGGUGGCGAAGGCGGCUCUCUGGACCGAUACUGACGCUGAGACGCGAAAGCGUGGGUAGCAAA